rnacentral:tRNA from 1 species
GCACCUAUAGUCUAAUGGUAGGAUAAAACCCUUCCAAGGUUUGGGCCUGGGUUCGAUUCCCAGUGGGUGCA